rnacentral:rRNA from 1 species
GACGAACGCUGGCGGCGUGCUUAACACAUGCAAGUCGAACGGAAAGGCCCUGCUUGCAGGGUGCUCGAGUGGCGAACGGGUGAGUAACACGUGGGUGAUCUGCCCCUUACUUUGGGAUAAGCCUGGGAAACUGGGUCUAAUACUGGAUAGGACCAUGCUGUAGGUGGUGUGGUGGAAAGAUUAGUUUCGGUAAGGGAUGAGCUCGCGGCCUAUCAGCUUGUUGGUGGGGUAAUGGCCUACCAAGGCGUCGACGGGUAGCCGGCCUGAGAGGGUGGACGGCCACAUUGGGACUGAGAUACGGCCCAGACUCCUACGGGAGGCAGCAGUGGGGAAUAUUGCACAAUGGGCGCAAGCCUGAUGCAGCGCCGCCGCGUGGGGGAUGACGGCCUUCGGGUUGUAAACUCCUUUCAGCCAUGACGAAGCCCUUGUGGUGACGGUAGUGGUAGAAGAAGCACCGGCUAACUACGUG